AGAGCGAACGCUGGCGGCAGGCUUAACACAUGCAAGUCGAGCGCCCCGCAAGGGGAGCGGCAGACGGGAGAGUAACACGUGGGAACGUACCUUUCGGUUCGGAACAACCCAGGGAAACUUGGGCUAAUACCGGAUACGUCCGUAAGGAGAAAGAUUUAUCGCCGAAAGAUCGGCCCGCGUCUGAUUAGCUAGUUGGUGAGGUAACGGCUCACCAAGGCGACGAUCAGUAGCUGGUCUGAGAGGAUGAUCAGCCUCACUGGGACUGAGACACGGCCCAGACUCCUACGGGAGGCAGCAGUGGGGAAUAUUGGACAAUGGGCGCAAGCCUGAUCCAGCCAUGCCGCGUGGGUGAUGAAGGCCCUAGGGUUGUAAAAGCCCUUUCGGCGGGGAAGAUAAUGACGGUACCCGCAGAAGAAGCCCCGGCUAACUUCGUGCCAGCAGCCGC
rnacentral:rRNA from 1 species